rnacentral:ncRNA from 2 species
UAUAAAACGAUUAAGAGGAACUAGUAAUUUAACCAAUUAUUUUAGUGAGUAUAUGGUAGUGAGAAUAUACAUAAAUGGUUAUUUGAACUCAUCCUUGAGUUUUCUCACUGAACAAUAGUAGGUGCGAACGUUAUUUCACGUUAUGAAAAAGAGUCAGUAAUUUAUACUGGAAUAAUAGGUGGUACCGCGGAAAAUUCGUCCUAUAG